AGAGCUCGUAGGUGGUUCGAUACGUCGGAUGUGAAAAUCAGGGGCUCAACCCCUGACNUGCAUCCGAUACGGUCGAGCUGGAGUUUGGUAGGGGAGACUGGAAUUCCUGGUGUAGCGGUGGAAUGCGCAGAUAUCAGGAGGAACACCGAUGGCGAAGGCAGGUCUCUGGGCCAAUACUGACACUGAGGAGCGAAAGCGUGGGGAGCGAACAGGAUUAGAUACCCUGGUAGUCCACGCCGUAAACGGUGGGCGCUAGUUGUGCGAACCUUCCACGGUUUGUGCGACGCAGCUAACGCAUUAAGCGCCCCGCCUGGGGAGUACGAUCGCAAGAUUAAAACUCAAAGGAAUUGACGGGGCCCCGCACAAGCAGCGGAGCAUGCGGCUUAAUUCGACGCAACGCGAAGAACCUUACCAAGGCUUGACAUAUACAGGAAUACGGCAGAGAUGUCGUAGCCGCAAGGUCUGUAUACAGGUGGUGCAUGGUUGUCGUCAGCUCGUGUCGUGAGAUGUUGGGUUAAGUCCCGCAACGAGCGCAACCCUCGUUCUGUGUUGCCAGCAUUUAGUUGGGGACUCACAGGAGACUGCCGGGGUUAACUCGGAGGAAGGUGGGGAUGACGUCAAAUCAUCAUGCCCCUUAUGUCUUGGGCUGCACGCAUGCUACAAUGGCUGGUACAAACGGCUGCAAUACCGUAAGGUGGAGCGAAUCCGAGAAAGCCAGUCUCAGUUCGGAUUGGGGUCUGCAACUCGACCCCAUGAAGUCGGAGUUGCUAGUAAUCGUAGAUCAGCAACGCUACGGUGAAUACGUUCCCGGGGCUUGUACACACCGCCCGUCACAUCACGAAAGUCGGUAACACCCAAAGUCAGUGGCCCAACCGUAAGGAGGGAGCUGCCAAAGGUGGGAUCGGUGAUGGGAUGAAGUCG
rnacentral:rRNA from 1 species